GAUGAACGCUGGCGGCGUGCUUAACACAUGCAAGUCGAACGAUGAAGCCCAGCUUGCUGGGUGGAUUAGUGGCGAACGGGUGAGUAACACGUGAGUAACCUGCCCUUGACUCUGGGAUACGCCUGGGAAACUGGGUCUAAUACUGGAUAUGACUUCUCAUCGCAUGGUGGGGGGUGGAAAGAUUUAUUGGUCUUGGAUGGACUCGCGGCCUAUCAGCUUGUUGGUGAGGUACUGGCUGACCAAGGCGACGACGGGUAGCCGGCCUGAGAGGUGGACCGGCCACACUGGGACUGAGACACGGCCCAGACUCCUACGGGAGGCAGCAGUGGGGAAUAUUGCACAAUGGGCGCAAGCCUGAUGCAGCGACGCCGCGUGAGGGAUGACGGCCUUCGGGUUGUAAACCUCUUUCAGUAGGGAAGAAGCGAGAGUGACGGUACCUGCAGAAGAAGCGCCGGCUAACUACGUG
rnacentral:rRNA from 1 species